rnacentral:rRNA from 1 species
GGAAUCUUCCACAAUGGACGCAAGUCUGAUGGAGCAACGCCGCGUGAGUGAAGAAGGUCUUCGGAUCGUAAAACUCUGUUGUUAGAGAAGAACACGAGUGAGAGUAACUGUUCAUUCGAUGACGGUAUCUAACCAGCAAGUCACGGCUAACUACGUGCCNG